GAAGAGAGGGAAGAAAUAGCUGGUAAGUAAAUUUUCUUUUGUUUUGUUCUUUCAAAAUCUUCUUCGCAAUUCUGCCUUUUUUUCAUCACUUUUCGUUUUUUCUUUAUCUUCGUUUGGACUCGUGUCGCAACGAGGAUAAAAGAAGAAGGGGAGUUGGCGAUGAAGGAUAAAGAAAGAAAUCUACAACGA
rnacentral:ribozyme from 14 species